UGGGUGAUCCGGCAAGGUAGUUAGCUGCGUGUGUUGGCUGGGUCAUGUGUUAAGUGGCCAGGAUUUGUGCAUGCACUAGUUAGUUAGUUAGUUAGUGGCUGCAUGCAUGAGUUGCAUGGCCAGGUUGCGUAGGCGUUGAGAAAGGAUGGCGUGCAUGUAGCUAGUAGGUUAGUGCGUGGAGGCCGAGUCUUGUGCAUCAUGGAGAGAUUCCAGGGAUGCAUGGUCUUAUCUUGUACUGCCUACUUAAGUUAAGAAAAUGAAUGAGAAGAGGAGGCCGAGAGGGCUGAGGAAUAAGAUGUAGCCAAUGUAUUCACCAAGGAGAGACCCUCAUGCAAAGUAAGAGCUGGUCUUCUCCUUGGUUGUGUGCGUGGGUGUAGAACUUCUCACCAUGUGUGUGUGUGUGUGUGUGUGUGUUCUUGAGAGAAACAACCAGAGAGGAAGAGAGAGUUGUGAGAGACAAUGAGAGGUAGAAGAAGAAGUGGCGCUGCAAGGAGGCGGCGCCAACAAUUGGUAUCAGAGCCUUGUCGAUCCGCGGCAGCGAUGGCGGCAGUGACGACUACACCGCGGACUUCAUGUGACAUGGAGGACGUCGGCGUGAGGUGGAGGCCGUUGGCGGCGCGAUGCCGCUGGUGGCCGGUUGCGGUGCGAUGCUGCAAGAUGAUGAUGGUGUGGUGGUCGGUGUCGCGAGGACGUCAUCCACAACAAGAUGGUCCAUGGUGACCGGCGCUGCGACGGCGUCGGCUUUGGCACGAUGGACUCCAUGCGAGAUGAAGGCCGACAGUGCAAGAAGGAAGAUGGUGGCCAUGCGGUGCCGUUAUGUGAAGAUGGCGGUGCGAAGCUGCCACAAGAAGAGUCGGUGUGAUGCCGACGAUGGUGGUGUGAUGCCAUCAUCAUCAUGGAAAGUUGGUGUGAAGCCAACAAAAGUUGCGGUGCGAUGCCGCUUGGCGAAGACGGCGUGGUGAUCGGCGUUGAGACAACGUCGUCCACGUCAAGAGGUGGCCGCCGCGUGCGGCAAGAGGACAUGGUGAUGGACGCCUGCGCUGCGAUGGCGUCGGUCCACGGCAGGGUGUGCAGCGCCGCGAUGGCGUCGUCAAGUGAUCGCGGGUGAUCCGUGUCAAGGAUUGAAGAAUCAAGAUUAAGGGUGAGAUUGUUAGGCUUUUUAAUCUUGAUUAUGUAUCUGCAUAUUUGUUUUGAGUCCUACAUGUAACUUAGAUGUCUAGGGAGUAGCGAGUCCGGCGAAGCUUUAACAAAGAUGUGUGGAGAAGGCGAGAUGCCAGACCGCCGUGAGAAGCGGCAAGACAUGAUGAAGCUGGAGCGUGACCGGCUGCACGAUGAGGAGGAGCUGGGUGAUCCGGCAAGGUAGUUAGCUGUGUGUGUUAGUGGCCAGGAUUUGUGCAUGCACUAGUUAGUUAGUUAGUGGCUGCAUGCAUGAGUUGCAUGGCCAGGUUGCGUGGGCGUUGAGAAAGGAUGGCGUGCAUGUAGCUAGUAGGUUAGUGCGUGGAGGCCGAGUCUUGUGCAUCGUGGAGAGAUUCCAGGGAUGCAUGGUCUUAUCUUGUACUGCCUACUUAAGUUAAGAAAAUGAAUGAGAAGAGGAGGCCGAGAGGGCUGAGGAAUAAGAUGUAGCCAAUGUAUUCACCAAGGAGAGAGCCUCAUGCAAAGUAAGAGCUGGU
rnacentral:lncRNA from 1 species